rnacentral:rRNA from 1 species
AACGAACGCUGGCGGCAUGCCUAACACAUGCAAGUCGAACGAGACCUUCGGGUCUAGUGGCGCACGGGUGCGUAACGCGUGGGAACCUGCCCUUAGGUUCGGAAUAACUCACCGAGAGGGGUGCUAAUACCGGUUAAUGUCUUCGGACCAAGGAUUUAUCGCCUUUGGAUGGGCCCGCGUUGGAUUAGCUGGUUGGUAGGGUAAAAGCCUACCAAGGCGACGAUGCAUAGCUGGUCUGAGAGGAUGAUCAGCAACACUGGGACUGAGACACGGCCCAGACUCCUACGGGAGGCAGCAGUGGGGAAUAUUGGACAAUGGGCGAAAGCCUGAUCCAGCAAUGCCGCGUGAGUGAUGAAGGCCUUAGGGUUGUAAAGCUCUUUUACCCGGGAUGAUAAUGACAGUACCGGGAGAAUAAGCUCCGGCUAACUCCGUG